CCCCGCCCCUGCUUCCUCCUCUCCCCGCCCUCUCGCCGCACUUCGGGGUCCAGGAUCCCACCCAAGUCGCUGCUUUCCGUGAAGGGCCCGCUCUUCGUGGAAGUCACGUGGCAGCACCGAAGCCCACCCACGGAGGAGACCCCGAGUGGGUGGGGACGGGGUGCUGGCGCUGCGCCGUCUUGGACGGUCCUCCGGCUUCUCCUGGGAAGUUCGGGGCCCUGAAUCCUGCAGGAGUGGCUGGGAAAGGCAGUCCGCUGACAGUGUGGACGAGUCCCCUGCCAAGGGCACAGCCUGUGACAAAGCAUCUGACAGUGCUUAACAACUGCAGAAGUGACUGGACUUUUUUUUUGCAAAUACUCACCUGACUGGGGUGAGGGAGGCACAAGAUGUUCCUGGUUCGGGCAGCCUCCCAGAGCCUUGUUUGGGUCUGUUGGUCCUACUGCAGCAGGGCAGCUGUGUUCCUGGCCUGUGCUGUCACCAGAAACCAUGUGACCCAGCAAACCCAACCAGGUGGUCACAGAGAGCCAGUCAUGUAGCCCAGCACCUGGAACUCUUCCUUCAUGCUACUGAAGCAUCCUGCACAUUCUCACCCUUUCCCCAAACUAUGUAACCCUUGCUUCAUCCUGAAUAAAGUGUCUGCGUAUGAGCCUGCCCUGAAUAAAGGUAUAUGCACAAGCUAAGAU